rnacentral:rRNA from 1 species
AUUGAACGCUGGCGGCAGGCCUAACACAUGCAAGUCGAGCGGAGCUGCGGACGGGUGAGUAAUGCCUAGGAAUCUGCCUGGUAGUGGGGGAUAACGUCCGGAAACGGGCGCUAAUACCGCAUCCUAUCAGAUGAGCCUAGGUCGGAUUAGCUAGUUGGUAGGGUAAUGGCCUACCAAGGCGACUAUCCGUAACUGGUCUGAGAGGAUGAUCAGUCACACUGGAACUGAGACACGGUCCAGACUCCUACGGGAGGCAGCAGUAGGGAAUAUUGCACAAUGGGCGAAAGCCUGAUCCAGCCAUGCCGCGUGUGUGAAGAAGGUCUUCGGAUUGUAAAGCACUUUAAGUUGGGAAGCGUUACCAACAGAAAAAGCACCGGCUAACUCCGUGCCAGCAGCCGCGGUAAUAC